GGGCAGAUGACUGCAACCAAGAUGGAGCAGAAAUUGGAUGGUUUUGCAUGGCUAAACUUGCCCUGAGCUGAGCUUUCAGAGAGUUCAAACCACUCCAGGUGCUCCUCAAAUGGAAGAGCUCCACAAGCUUACCCACCUGAAGAGCAGAAAUAAAAGAUUGGCAACAUCCAGCUGCAUAAAUACUCCAUGAAAAUGCAGACUUGUGCCACUAAUCCAAAGGAUCCCGGAUCCACUUUUCCUGUGGGUUACCCUCCCUGGAAUUACAUAUCAACAGCAUCAAUGGAAAUUCGUAUUCCAGGAUUAAGAUAUAUUUCUACUCAUCUUUCUAAUGCCAGAAGCUCACAUCUUGGUAGCUGGGGCUCACAGCAGAAAGAGAAAAGGUGGAACCAGCAGAGAAGAUUUGCUCAUGGGCUCUUUGUCAGUAGGAACACCCUCUGUGAAAAAACUCUGCUGCUGGAGAACACGACAUGAAUAUUUCCAGAACAUUUUCCACUGUUUUCCAAUGACACGACAUCACUUUAUUUGGGUGAACUCCUUACUUUGGCUAGUUGUGUCCCUGUUUUUUGGCUGGAAAUCUCCACGGAUGAGUAGGAAAGGAAUGCUACCUACUCCCACAAGAAGUGUUUUGAGCUGCAGUCUCUAACAAGCUAUACCUUUCUCAUGGAAGGAAUUUAUUAGAAAAUCCCUACUGAAAAUCAAUGUUUCUGAAAUGAGGUCUUUAUCUAAUAGCUCACCAGCUUCCUGGGAAGUGAUGAGGUGGAGGCAGCUGAAUUUCAGCGUGGAUCUGGUUAAUAUAAACUGCCACCUGGUGAAUGCUAAAGAGUAUUUUUGCCUUCACUAGGCGUGGUCUGGUUUACGCUCCGGAGGAGAACAGAUCCUCAGAUACUCCUAAUGUUGUACCAUUACGAGUUGCAACACAAAUAUGAAAUGAAAUCACUGCAUGACUUUCUUCCAGCCACACCGCACAGAGGUUAUUUUAACACAGUGGUUCCUUCCAGAGUCCCCAGGCCAGAGCAAGCUGAAAUCAGGCAUUCACAGCUCUUGCUCAUCAUCCCAGGUGACUUCUUCAUCCCAGACAAGAAGAAGCCACCCUGCUUAACCUGUGCUGUCUGUUGGUAAAACAGAAAUGACACUGCUUCCUUACAGAAGGAUGCUGAGGGCAAUGCACAAAGUGUCCGUAUCCUGUGGGGAUGAGUUCACAGCCAUGUCCAGAGGAGUUUGGGGAUGCCAGGCUGCAGCAGCUCCUUUCAGACAGCUCAUGGCAUCACAGACCAGCUCCCAAGCCUGUGGACACUGCAGGACUCCCACUGGCUUUUAUCAGCUUUGGCUCACAUCCUUGGCAUCUGGUUCAUGCCUCUUUAUUUAUAAGGUCAUGCAUAUCAGGAGCAGCCUCCCAGGGAAAACAGGCCAGCUCAUCUCCUUGCUCAAAGAAGCCAUUUAGCUGUGAUUGUAAUCUGUGAUUUCAUUGCUAGCCCCUUCUAGUUGGGCUCUCCAGGGAGGGGAAUUUUAUUUCUUUGGCACAGCCUAAGCAUUGUGCUGAGCAGAUCUCUCUUUCUAUUUAUCUCAUGCAUACCUAUAUAACAAGCAUGGAUGUGAUGAAUAAUAAGUACAUAGGUGCUACGGGUCUCCUUUGUAUUUCUUUGGCACUAUUAAUAGCCUUUAAAAGUGGGGAUAACUCUCAUUUGUGCCAGCUCUAAGCUGUCUUCAUACAGUCCAAGCAUUGUAAGGGAGUUUUAUUUUAAACAGAACAUUUCUGAGUAAUUAAUCACUCCGAUAUAAGACACACAUAACAAUUCCAAAUAACCUCUGCAUGUGUUCUUAGUUGAAAGGGGCAAAUGAAAGAUGGGGGGAAAAUAUAGUCAAAACAAGGAGCUGAGAUGCAGAAUCCAGCCAGGAAAGCAUGGAUGAGGUUUUUUUCCCCCUCCUUACUCAAACAAUUCAGAACAUAUUUUCCCUAUAAAGUAAAUGGGUAGAAUGUCCAAGUGUACCUCUGACAGUAUCUCUGCUGCAUGUGCAGCUGUGGGGUGGAAGGAUGGGGUGCUGGACAGCAUCAUCUGCUCCAAACCACUGAGCAACCUCCCAGAAAAAGUGAGGGCCAAGCUCUGAGCACUGCAAACGUGGAUGUGUGACCUGUCAGGCUGCCCAGAGCCAUCCGAGUGCAGGAGCUGGUGCAGCCAGCCACUUGUUUCACUUCCAAAAACUCAAACAAUCACAAAGACAGGCACUUUUUAGCUUCAGCAGCCGCAGCAGAACUCACCAGAGUGGGAUGGUCAAGGAGCUCGUGGGAGGCAGGAAGUUUGGUGGCUGCUCUUUUUCCCAGUGGAUGUUUCUCUGCACUCCUGGAUGUUUUUCAGUACCAGAGUGAGUUGGUGUGUGGCACAUCCUGCCAGGGGAGGAUAAAACCCAUGAGGACACAUCCUACAGAAUAACUCACUGCUUUCUACUCACUGUCCAACUCCUGACCCUCAAAGCCAGCCUUGCCCUGCCUCAAUCUUCAUUAUCAUGUGGAAACUGUGUUGUGGGAUGGGCUCUGUAUGGCAGUGAAGACAUGAACUGACUCUGAGUCUUUAAACGUAUCAGGAGCCCAUAGGAUGUGUUAUUUUUGCUGGAUUCGUCCUAAGAAUGAGAGCUAAUUCCUGCUUUUUCCAGUUAUCUCAUCUGUUUUCCCUCGUGCCCUCUCAAAUCCAGCCAAUCUCAUCUUUAGUAAAUAAAUGUUGAAAGGACUUUGUUUUGCAGCCAUGUAACAUAAAAUUAUGAGUAAUGUAUGAAGUAAAAUACAAACAAACAAAAAUUUGAGCGGUUUGGGCGAACACCACGUUUCUCUUCUGACUCAUACAGAAAGGCUUCGUCACAGCACUCCCAGCACCAGCAUCUACAACUGGCCUCAGCCUUUGAAAUCCUGCUGCCUAAAACCUGCAUGCCUUCUGUGCCAUGAGAUGUGGAAUGAAGGUUUGGAGGAAACCUCUCUCUUACUCUUGGUAGGUGAUGGUCUCAUGGGGAGCAGAA